rnacentral:lncRNA from 1 species
UAAUUUUAUACAGGUCCCCGCAAAUAUUAAUAAUUGCAAAUAUAUUCCUACACAGUUCAACUUUCAUAUAUUGUCUCUACAAAAGUCUUAAUAUUUUCAAAUAUAUCCAUCUGGUUUGUUACCGUUAAAGCACCGUUUAUUUUGUAAGUGAAAUGACCUUUUUGCGAUCACAAACAUGUCCCUCUAAAAGUUCCAACUGUUAAUUGAAAAGGGGUAAGAAGAUUAAUUCACCUCAUUAACUAACUAGGCCUAAAUAUUUUAAUUAUGGUUAAUUAUUUUUUUUCUAAUGGGUUCUAACGGCAGGGGUAUAUUUGAAAACAUCAAGAUUUUUGUAGGAGUAAUAUAUAAAAAUUGAACUAUAUAAGGAUAUAUUUGCAAUUCACUAUGUUUGUAGAGACAUGUAUGAAAUUAAUCC